rnacentral:rRNA from 1 species
UACGUAGGGGGCUAGCGUUGUCCGGAUUUAUUGGGCGUAAAGAGCGUGUAGGCGGCCAGGUAGGUCUGCUGUGAAAACUCGAGGCUUAACCUCGAGAUGUCGGCGGAAACCAUCUGGCUAGAGUCCGGAAGAGGAGAGCGGAAUUCCUGGUGUAGCGGUGAAAUGCGCAGAUAUCAGGAAGAACACCCGUGGCGAAGGCGGCUCUCUGGGACGGUACUGACGCUGAGACGCGAAAGCGUGGGGAGCGAACAGG